GCUAUUUUGUCAGAAUAAUUGUAUUAAAUUUAGAAUUUAAUAAUGUAAUAAUUUUUUACAGAUAGUA
rnacentral:tRNA from 1 species